GAGGGAUGGUAUCUGAGUUCUUGUACUUUAGAAGGCUGCAGUAAUCCCCAGCUCAUUACAGCUGGGCUGGUGCAGUGGGAAAUUGGGACAGAUGUUGGACAGAUGGUGACCCUCCGCUGUUGGGAUCACUGCUGCUGCUUUCCUUUGUGACAAAGCAUACCAUGCUGAAAUGAAAGUGAGAUCUUCAUCAAAGAGCACAGUGUGUCUUUGGGUGUGAUUUCUUUGUGGGAACAAACGCCUACUGAUUCAUGCAGACACAGUCCUGGGUGAGGAGGACAGCUUCCAUUGCAGCUAUGCAGCACCCAGCUCAACAGGAAUGGAGAAUAACGUCAACAAAAGGAACAGAACUGGACCUUGCCUGAUGCAGACACACUGGGACUUGUCAGAGUUAUCAAAGCUCCCAGAAACGUUGCUCUUAGUACUAGCAGUGUGUGUGCCACUCUUCCUGCAGCAAAGGGAAGCUCAAAGGAAGGCAGCAGGUUUGUCCCAGUGCAACACUGUGCAGCUCCGGUCCCGUGCUGAAACAAAAGUCCCAAUGGUGCAACUGGAAUGGACCUUCAUGCUGCACUUCAGCCCUUCUUCCCAUCCAAACCAAAGUCCUCUGCUUCUCCAAAGGAACAGCCGCCUCUGUAGCUUCUGUGACACCGCCUGGAGGCCGCAGGGAGCUCGGGGCCGUCUGCUGGACUCCUCCUGCUGUCCUGGUGCAGCAGCUCAGAGGACAGCAGUGCCAGUCGUUCCCAUUUCCUCAGAGCUCGGGGAAGAAGAGGAUGGUGUUGGCUUUCAGUGAGAACUGUCCUGCCUUUCUUUACCUCAAACUAGAAGUGGGGUAAAGUAAAUCCUUCAGGCAUACCUUCCAGGGGAGCAGCAGUCACUUCCUCCAGAGGCUGCAUUAAGCACAGCAACAGAUCAGAGCAGAUGUGGCUCAAUGAAACCAUCGUGCAGCUCAGGAUGAGUGAGGUGGCUACAGACAGCUUUGAAUAUGUGUGUGCUUGUGUGUCUGUGUACAAUAUAGCCGAAGAAGCCUCCACUGCUGUUUGUGCUGCAGAACAGAUGACUUGGAAAAGGCUCUCGAAGUUCUGGGACUUCACCCUGACAUGUCCUGGAUUUGAACAUCCCCAGGUCUGGAGGCUGCCUGCUGGCUGGUGUGGGCUUAUCUCUGCAGGAGGCAAGCUGAAGCGCUCCGUGCCAUUGCCAUGCUUUUUAAAUGAGGAGGAGAAGAGGAAAGCUGAAGCCUUUACUCUGCCUGUUGGAUGAAAAUUAUUUGUGGCUGAUGAACAGCUGAGUAGCAAUAUGCAAAUUCCCCUGGAUGUACAUAGAAUGGUCGUCUGUGGCACAGCAGCAUUAGUCUGGCUGUAGGAUGAUUCACAUGCCUGAAGAAUAAAAGGUGCUUCACCUCAAAUAAUACCGUUUUUGUGCUUAUUGUUAUCGCUGUGAUUAAACCUCUGCCACUGUCUGAUUUUGGAGACUGGUGAACAUCAGCCGUUCUUAGAGACAGCAGAGCCAGAAUUACCUAUGGCUGCGGAGGGGAUCUGGGACAGUGCGGCUAAGGAGAGCACAGUGUGUUUCUAAGUGGGCUACAGAACAUCAUUAUCAUAUUUCUUCUGGAACCUGCUUUCUGGGCUGAAAUACAGAAUGGCUUCCACUGAAGGUGUGUAUAGAAUCAGAGGGCUAUUCCACACCUGUAAACUGGACAACCAUCAUGGUGCCUAUGGGAUCUGUUCAGGCCACAUCUAUUAGGAACCUGGCCUGUGCAGCCCAGAAGACAGCUAGAGAUGGAUGGUGCUGGCGUGCGGCCACUUCGGAAGACAGAGCUGGAUCAGCCUGCCGGGGACAGAGGCAGACAAAUGGAACCUGCAGGACAAGCAUGCCAUUACCUUGUUUGCCAAACUCAUUACAGAGAAGUUGCAAAGUUCCAGUAUGCUGCCCCUGGCCUCCGAGACAAAGCUGUCAGCUGGUUCGUGAAUAAUUCCAGGCCACAUUCAGGCAGCCCGUUGUCGCUUGGCGCCCAGCAUGCUGCAGGUGAAAAUGGAAGCUCCAGCCCCAAGGAGGAAUAAUGCUGACCCCCAUCAGCACCAGCUCCUCACACUCAGCAGAGAUCAGGUGCUCUGGGAAAGCCCUGACUCAUGGCAAUCCAAGCUUCAGACAAAGUUGGUUGGAGCACCAUGAUCAUAAACUCCAUCAUAGAUUGGCUAUCAGCAGGAUGGAGGAAGAAGUAUGUCAUAACUUCUGUAACAGACUGCAAAUGCUUUGGCCAAUGGAUUGAUGUGCCCUGUGAUUUAACAGGUGGCUGCAUGCUUCGCAGAUGAAUCGAUAUGGAGGAAGAAAGCCCUAAUUUGCUGCAACCUUUGACUUUUCAAGUCAUGACCAAUGGAGACGUUUCAAAAUCAUGGCUCAGAGGUACCUGGCAAAGCUCCCGUGGUGCUGCACCUUGCUGUCUCCUGCACUGAGCAGCACUGGAUGGACUAGGAGUGGCCAUCUACGUUUUUUAUUUGCAAAAACGGAAUC
ensembl:lncRNA